rnacentral:rRNA from 1 species
GGCGUAAAGCGCAUGCAGGUGGUCUGUUAAGUCAGAUGUGAAAUCCCCGGGCUUAACCUGGGAACUGCAUUUGAAACUGGCAGACUGGAGUCCUGUAGAGGGGGGUAGAAUUUC